ACUCUGGAUAAGGCAUUCUAUUUUGUUGAUUCUGCUAAAAUAAAUACCUUAUCUGGAGGAG
ensembl:miRNA mdo-mir-7386d mdo-mir-7386d